GAGAUGAAUACAAGCUUAUGAGGUGAAAACUGUUGUUAUCCCGAUUUUAAAGAUAGGGAAACUGAGGCACAGAGAAGCCCCCAGGUUAACAGCUACCACCCUCAGGAAGCCGUGCCUGGUUCUUGCCAGCUGGAAGUCAUCACCCCUCUUCUGAUCGGUCCUUGCACAGCAUCUCCCUCGAGCUCCAGCAGCGGGAACCCAGCUACACCUGGUCAUCCCCUUUCUUCCUGCUUAGCACAGCCUGGCAACGAGGGCGAAGGAAGCAGGUCUCCCAGUGGCCCGGCUGGUAUUUGGGGUUCAAGCCCAGCACAGUCCCACAUCUGGAUCCCGUUAGCUUGCCGCGUUCCUUCUUGGCCAGGAAGAAUGUGUGCAACGCCGGAGGAGCUGCUGGACUGCGGGCUUGCUGCUCCGACUAGGCUAUCAAAGCAGAGUGGCGGGCAGCCGGCCCCUGGGGAGGGGCUUCCCCGGCUCUCCAUCAUCGCGCCGCCGCCGCCACCGGUAGCUCCGGGGUGGAGCAGGGCCCUUUCAGCAGGCGCUCGCUGCUGCAUAGGAGCGAGCCAGGCGGUUGGGCUGCGCCCGGGCAGGCCCGCUGCUUCUGAUUAAAGGCUCACCCACUGCUCCUGCCCCACCACCCUUCCCCCGCAGCCAGCCGGAGCAGACAGGAGCCGCCCAGAUGCUCCCCCAAAUCCCAGGCUGUGGAUGGGGAAGGGGCCCUCCACCCCUAGUCAGGACAGGCGGAGCUGACCUCUGCAGAACUCUACCGGCUUUGGAAAGAGGGGACCGGUUUUCUCCUUCCAAAUCUUUUUAGGGUCCCCUCUCUGAAGAGCUGCAGCCGUAACCAGCCUUAGUUAGAGGCAGUUAUUAAAAAACAAUACCGAGGCCUGUGCAGUCUUUUACAGCCCAGCACAGUGACUAAGAAUGAAGGUUCUGGAGCCAGGUUUCCUGGGUUUAAAUCUGGGCUCUGCUACUUCUUAGUCCUGUGACUUGGGGCAAGUUACUUAGUCUCUCUGUGCCUUAGGUCUCCCUCAAACCCUCAGUGAAAUCUCAAGAACAAUAGGUCCCUAGGUAACAGCACUGCUGUGAGCCUUAAAUGAGUUAACACUCAUAAAGUGCUUAGAAUAGUGCCUGGCCCAUCGGAGUGCCCAGUAAAUUAUUAUUGUUACAAAGUUUGUUUACAUCCAUUGACUCGUUGGAGCCUGGAGCAACCCUGUGACCUGGGGAUUGCCCAGGAAAACUAGAGAGGAGAAGGCCUUACCCCAAGUCACACAGCCAUAGGGGCAGGGUUGGGACACACAGGUCUCUUUGUCCAGUUCCCCGCCACCCAUUACCCAUGUACCUCCUUGCAUUGCCCAUGGCAGCUCAGUCAAGCAACAGUGGGAAGGAACUUUCAUCCAGGCUGAAAUUCUCACUUUUGCCACGUGGCUUAUGGGCCAAGGGGAACAGGUGAAGGAUCUCUAAGUCUUGAGUCCAGAGAAUUGCUAAUCUCUCAGGGCCAUGGCUGCAGAGAGAUAGUGUAGGCCUCAAAGCCAGUGGCCUAGACCUGCCUGGGGCCCUGAAAAGACCCACCCAGUGUCCCCCAAGUCUCAUCUCCCUAAGGGGGCAACUCACCUAGUGGGAGUAAGAAGCCAGGAGUCCAUGAUGAAGCCAAGUAGAAAGGACUUGUGUCCUGAUAGUUGUGCCCUGGUAGUUGUGAGGGGGAGGGGAGGGGUAGCAGUGCCACCAAAGUGGCUGAUAGAGCAUUGGCUAGUCAGCUCGGAGGAGGGAUAUGGCAACAAGAGAACCCAGGAGCCCACCCUCUGGCCAAAAGAAUACCCACCCCCCUUAUC
ensembl:lncRNA